UUCUAUUUUUGACCAGGUGGCGAUAAUGGUGCUUAACCUUUAAAUAACAGCACGUUAUAUAUUGCCUUAAAAUGGGAAUCCGGUGAAAAACCGGAACGGUCCCGCCGCUGUAAACGGGGACGAGCUCCUGCAUAAAUGUCACUGCAAAGAGUUUUUUUAAGCUUUGUGGGAAGACGCAGGAGCAAGGAUGAUCCGUGAGUCAGAAGACCUGCCAGGUUAAAAGUUUGUAC
rfam:Desulfamplus magnetovallimortis isolate PRJEB14757 genome assembly, scaffold: MTBBW1_scaffold20